UUAAUUCUUCUAGUUAAGCGGCUGCGCGUUAAAAAACGUGGCUGUUUUUCUUGUGAACUGGGGCUGCUAGUUAAGUUUAAACGCUUUUCUAACAGCCUGUCGUUAAUGCUCUUGUGUUAAUUUUUUGUUUUUGCUUUUUUUAAGCUUAACCGCUUGGAAAAAAUAAUUACAAGA
rnacentral:misc_RNA from 1 species